rnacentral:rRNA from 1 species
UCGCUAGUAAUCGCGGAUCAGCAUGCCGCGGUGAAAUACGUUCCCGGGCCUUGUACACACCGCUCGUCACACCACGAGAGUUUGUAACACCCGAAGUCGGUGAGGUAACCUUUUAGGAGCCAGCCGCCGAAGGUGGGACAGAUGAUUGGGGUGAAGUCGUAACAAGGUAGCCGUAUCGGAAGGUGCGGCUGGAUCACCUCCUUUCUAA